AGGCGAACAUGUCAGAAAUUUGCGAGCUCCUGUUGUGACAGAAAUUUGCGAGCUACUGUUGCGACACGUAUGAAACGCAUCGUUUCAUUAAAGUGCGUUUCUAUUGUUUCGGGUUUGGCGUUGGGCUUUAUUUUUUUAAGAAACAUGCCUUUUAGCUAGAAACCCUAAAUCCUAUCGUUUUACGUCCCUUUCUGUUCUUAGGUUCAUCACACUUUUUUUUCCGCCGUUUCAGGGUUUGAGAUUAUGAAAUCGACGUGAUGAAUAUCUUUGCAGGGUUUCGAUGCGCCGUUUGAUCUUUGCUUUCAUCAACCAAACGCUCACGGUUACAGAUUCGUUGCAGUAAAUCCAUUAUUAACUUCGCCAGCCACGAUCUUGCCUUCAAUGCGAGUUUCUCUUCUACAAAUCGUGUAUCUGUGAGUAUAAAUAGGGAGCAAUCUGGACUAAUGGGUUUAUUGAAUUUUGAUUUGAUGGUCGCUGGAUGGAAGCUGAUCGUAGUAUCAGCUUACAACAUAUUCUGCUAGAAAGUAACAAUCAGAGGAAGCUAAUAUAAGGGGUUUGAAAAUUUUCACUCUUUCUCCAACGUUUGCCUUUUCAAAACCCCCAAAGUCAUGUUUGAAAAACUCUGCUUCCAUCCCAAUAUGGAUGUCUAUGGCAAUAUUUGCUUUGACAUUCUUUAGGUAAAUGGUCAUCCGCUUGUGAUGUGAGGACGAUAUCACUUUCAGUUUCAGUUUAAAACCUUUUUGGAGAACCGAACAUUAGCUCAACUUUGAACAAACCGAUUUUGGAGCAAUCAAGAAGUUUUCUGCUGUACAUAAUACAUGAAGAUGGUUGAGAAGCUUUACAAAGAUGGUUCAGAAGCUUUUUAUCAUCAAUAAUGAAUUUUCUUCUUUGUACUUGGAUGCAAGAGUGUCUUUCAGAUUCCAAAGAUCAUUUUUCUUUUGUACUCAUCUCAAGUUGUGCCAAUCUUAGCAAUCUUAAACUUUUUUAUUUGCAGUCACUAAAAAAGAGUUUUUGUUGUGACAAUGAAAUUUAAGGUUAUUGUACUCAAAUAAAUGUGAAAAUUUGAAAUAUUA